ACUUAUAUGUGUUGCGUAACUAUUAUUGCUAGCUGUAUAUAAAUGAAAAACUACUCUUGCCAACCUUAUUUUUGACUUUGGAUGAAGAAGUGGGCAGGGAGAGAAACAAAUUCAAGAAGAAAAUUACAAGGAAUAGCAGGAGCGUCAUUUUCAUAAGCUAACUUAGCCCACCAGAAAUCGAUUCCAACAAUCCAAUUUCCUAUAUCAGUGCAAAUAAUAUCACGUUCAUAAAAAUGUGGACUAUAAAACUGGGAAGAUUGACGCAAAAACGUAUGAAAAACCAUUUCGCGUUCCUGUGAUGGUACCUUCAAAGUGAAUAGGCUUAAUUAUUCAAAUAUAUAAUGUCGUUAAAGUUGCAUCUCUUUUUCUUCGACUUUCUUUUAAAAUAAAAUGCUCUGAAUGUU